GACAACAACUAACGAGCAAUCGAUCGGCGCGACGGUAACCCGAUAACCCGGUGACCCGACGAGAAAAUCGACCGUGUGGGAGAGACGCUCGAUGAGUAAGGCGUGUCCGAAGUAACGGAGGGGAGCAACGGCAGCACAUCGGCUGAUAAUACUUUCCUAAACUCUUCUACGAGGGUCCUGUAAAAUAUUCAACGGCAUAAUAUCUAGGACGCGAAAAGUGAGAUUAGGAUAAUGACGAAGACUGGAUAUUGGCGCUCUUGGAGAAGAAGAAGCAAGCUCCUUUAAGCGAAAAUUCAAAUCAAAGAAGAUCAAAGAAUUGAUGGACGGAAGAGAGUACGGAGAUCCCAGGACACGCGUGACGAGAAGUGUCAGAGCGAAUCAGCUGGGAUAAUCAUCAAGAAUGAACCGUGUAAAUCCGCCUUCAGCUGCAAUGCUGCGGAUAGCGGAGGAGCAAUGGCCGGGCGGCGACGAAGGACGGGAAGGCUACGUGGAAAUUACCGCGCCAGCAGCAGAGCGUCUCUCGUUAAAUGCAUCCGACUGUUGUUUUAUUAAGCGUAAGCGUAAUCGCUUUAGCAAUGCCGGGCGCAAUCGCGGAGCGAAUAUACUGGCGAAUCGAGCCGCGCCGAGACGCGGACUGCAUUUCGCGAGCUUGUGCCGUAUCGCGCGAUCCGCCAGCCGCGGAUGCUUCGGUAAGCUCGCUUUUUACGAACCGGCAAACUGGCUCGAGACUUUUACGACAGAAAGAAGACCGAUUACGAAGCGCCGAGACAAGACGACGGGCUAUUGUCUUGAUUACACUGUUGAAGUACUCGAGAUUGAAAACAAUUUCGAAUCAAAACUGGUAAGUCGGUCACGUCGAACUCGUCUGCUAAUCAAUUUCGCGUGUGGUCGAGGAUGCACAGCGAGGAUACGUUUCUCGCUUCAAUGCCGUUGAAAUAUUCGUAAAAUUGUAAUCAGCCCGCGGAACACGCGGUCGGCAAAUUUUAUGUUUUCAACGAGCGAUGAGAAUUUUCCGCUAUCACGCUGUUCAUCCCUCGGGCCCAUUGUAAUGCGGCUCGAAUACGGGGAAAUAGAUACGCUCUCGCGAUGCACGCGGAAAAGCUCGGUAUUUUGGCCCGAACGAGCGUUACAAAGGGCGGAGUCCGUGUUCUUAUUUCACUGUCAGGAGCGCGAGCGGCGAAACGAGAGACCGAGCCGGACGGUUCACGGUAAUUAGUACGCGAAGAACGGGCUUUUUAGUCUUAAACGAACUAGCUUGCCGGGGUUUAUCCCGAAAGCGGUGUCGUUAAGCCGCGCGGACAAAGAAACGGAAGGAAAAUACGAAAAGCGGAGACGAAUGCUGGCUGACUGGCCGACGCGGUGGGCGAGUCGCUUCUUGCGGGACUUUAAAAUGCAGCCAAUUUCGCGAAUGUAAAGACAAUUGCCCUCGCGAUACAUUUUACACGAAAUAUGCGUACACAAAGGACCAAAAAUUUUUAAUAAAAUCGAUAUCAAUUUUCCGAACGUCGAUUAAUUUAAAGAAAAUUAAAUAUGCGUCGAAAAAUCGCAUAAAAGCCGCCGAUUGUUCAAUCACUGAUUACCAGCUACUAUAAAAUUUUAAUAAAUUGGUGAAGAAAUUUUUUCAAUGCGUCCAUCAAAAUUAAAGCAAAUUUUUCAAUGAAAAAUUUGAUAAGACAGAAGUGUUAAUCGCGGAAAGAUAGAUUGAUACAAAAGAUUCCGGAAGCCUGGCGAUAGAUCGAAGAUCACAACGACGGAUGAUCCGCGGCGCGUUUUCAACUUUUGGCUCGAUUUCACGAGCAUCGCGCAUUUGUUGCGGAAUUAUGGCGGCUCGUUUCGCAGGAUAAAAUGUACACGGACGAAACCGCUUUACGUGGAUCCUAUCGCGUGACGUGCGAGUGCGCACAGCACAGCCGUGAGAUGAAAUUCAGCUUCGGGUAAUCGAGAAAAUCCAGGAUCGAGGAUAUCGCACGCGGAGUAGGUUUAGGACGGAAGUUACCUAAGAAUCCUCUCGACCGUAAUCCACGUCGUAAUCGCCGGCUAUACCCACGGGCCUGGCGAGGACCCAACUCUAUUUUCUCUUAUUCAAACCUACCCCUUCUCCCCCCUCUCUACGCUCUUCCGCCUCGACCAAUUUCUGCGCCCCGCUUCACCCGGCACAGCCGAGCGCAUCGUUUUUAUAGAUUCGCGCAAAUUCACGGGAUGCUUCUGUGCACACCGCGGGGAGACAGCGUUUUAAGGCGAAAUUACGAUAAUUGAGCCGCCGCGUGGAAUAGCGGCUUAAGCCGGUAAAAAUACAAUUUUGGACUAUAUUGGUUUUCGUGCACAAUUAUUUCGACGUGAAUUAUCUUUCUUCAUAGAACUGCAAAAAUAACGCGAUAAAGUAGCUGGAUGUUACAUCAGAUUUCACGAAAUUCCUUUUCCUUUCCUUAAAAUGAGGAAAAUGCAAUUUAUACCGCUGUGUUGUUGAACGGAUGAAAUAUUCUCCCAUUAUCGAUUGUUCUGUUAUUGUUUUAUGCAUAAUAGACCAUUAUGCGAUAAUGUACGUCUUCAUUAAUUGCGGAAACGUAUUGGGUAUUGCGAUACGCUGAAUCGUCACGUUUCAUUCUCGUCAUAAAUUUGAAAAAAUUUCGUUACUGACUUUUUUUGCAGCAAGACCGAUCAAAAAGCUAGUUAUAGAGUUAUUUAGCGCAGAAAAUAUUUCGAGAGACACCUGAAAUGUCAGUAUGCAAUUUUCAACAUCGUUUUCAAUGAAUCUAUUAUUGCAUUGUCAGUUCGGCAAUUGAUUUCUUUAAGACUGAUUAUUUCAUACACAUAUAAAUGUCACCACAAUACGGCUUUUCAGGAGUAUAACGAUUUACACACACGUUGUAUAAAUAUGGGAAUGCAUGGCGACGCAUUGAUAAUUCAAUCCCGAUUGGUAAAGGACAAUAUGCGCACGAGAAAGAUACGCACGAACAAUGCUAUUAUAUAUAACCUGUCGGCUCGCAAACAAUCCAAAUAAUGUAUAUAAUGGCUUUGUAUACGAGUAAACUAGACCAACCAAUGCUGCGCGUUAUUGGUUAAUGAGAGAUUUCUGUUAUUUUGUCAGUGACGCCAUUAAUAUCGAUCUGUCCGGUUCGCGGGACUAUCUUGUGCAAAAUGUCACCGAACUUGAACGAGACAGUCAAAGAUUGUUUCGAUCUUUCCGCAAAUAAAAUUAUUUAACGCCUUGUGUCUCGACAUAUCAACGUUAAAAUUUCAACAGAGAAAAUUACGUAAUUCAAUUUUAUUUAAUUGUUUUUACGAUAACGGAGAUUACAUAAUAAAAUGACAUACCGAUUAUAUAAUUAAAUUUCAAACCGAAAUACUUAGUAAACAGACUCCGCAAUAAUUAUUUCUAUUACUCUUUUACAACACUAAUCGUAUUAUUCUCGCACGAAAUUUUGCACAACACAUCAUAUAUGUACAAAAAACGUAUUUUUUUAUGAU